CGAAAGCCUGAUCCAGCCAUGCCGCGUGUGUGAAGAAGGCCUUCGGGUUGUAAAGCACUUUCAGCGAGGAAGAACGCCUUGGGAUUAAUACUCCCGAGGAAAGACAUCACUCGCAGAAGAAGCACCGGCUAACUCCGUGCCAGCAGCCGCGGUAAUACGGAGGGUGCAAGCGUUAAUCGGAAUUACUGGGCGUAAAGCGCGCGUAGGUGGCUAAGUCAGCCAGGUGUGAAAGCCCCGGGCUCAACCUGGGAACGGCAUCUGGAACUGCUUGGCUAGAGUGCAGGAGAGGAAGGUAGAAUUCCCGGUGUAGCGGUGAAAUGCGUAGAGAUCGGGAGGAAUACCAGUGGCGAAGGCGGCCUUCUGGACUGACACUGACACUGAGGUGCGAAAGCGUGGGUAGCAAACAGGAUUAGAUACCCUGGUAGUCC
rnacentral:rRNA from 1 species